AAACGCGCCGAACCCUUUAUAAAAUGCUCUUUACGGGUCGUCGGGCUCGCGAACGUAGAGCCUCCUCCUCCUCUUCCUCCUUAGGGCGUCGUCGUCGGUGAUCUCGUCGCCAUGGAUCCUUACAAGUACCGUCCUUCGAGCGCCUUCAACUCCCCUUUCUGGACCACCAAUUCCGGCGCCCCGGUUUGGAACAACAACAACUCCCUCACCGUCGGGUCCCGAGGGCCUAUUCUUCUCGAGGACUACCAUCUCGUUGAAAAGCUUGCCCAGUUCGACAGGGAACGCAUUCCAGAACGUGUUGUUCACGCCAGAGGAGCGAGCGCAAAGGGCUUCUUCGAGGUCACGCAUGACAUCUCUCACCUCACCUGUGCUGAUUUCCUUCGGGCGCCUGGGGUCCAGACCCCAGUCAUUGUUCGCUUCUCGACUGUCAUUCAUGAGCGCGGCAGCCCUGAAACCCUAAGAGACCCACGAGGUUUCGCUGUUAAGUUUUACACCAGAGAGGGAAACUUUGAUCUUGUUGGGAACAACUUCCCCGUAUUCUUCAUCCGUGACGGGAUGAAGUUCCCCGACAUGGUUCAUGCCCUCAAACCGAAUCCCAAAUCCCACAUCCAGGAGAACUGGCGGAUCGUUGACUUCUUCUCCCACCACCCUGAGAGCCUGCACAUGUUCACCUUCCUCUUCGACGAUAUCGGCAUCCCUACCGACUACCGCCACAUGGAUGGCUCUGGCGUUAACACCUACACCCUCAUCAACAAGGAAGGCAAAGCCCACUAUGUCAAGUUCCACUGGAAACCCACUUGCGGCGUUAAGAGUUUAUUGGACGAUGAGGCCGUGAUUGUUGGAGGGACUAACCAUAGCCACGCAACUAAGGAUCUUUACGAUUCUAUCGCAGCCGGAAAUUAUCCUGAAUGGAAACUUUAUAUUCAGAUUAUUGAUCCGGAUUAUGAAGAUCGGUUCGAUUUUGACCCACUUGAUGUGACCAAGACAUGGCCUGAGGAUAUCUUGCCUCUCCAGCCAGUGGGGCGAUUGGUGCUGAACAGGAACAUCGAUAACUUCUUUGCUGAGAAUGAACAGCUCGCCUUCUGUCCGGCUAUUGUGGUGCCUGGGAUAUACUAUUCGGAUGAUAAGCUGCUCCAGACUAGGAUAUUCUCUUAUGCUGAUACUCAGAGGCACCGUCUUGGGCCGAACUAUCUAAUGCUUCCUGCGAAUGCUCCCAAAUGCGCUCACCACAAUAACCAUUACGAUGGCUUCAUGAAUUUCAUGCACAGGGAUGAGGAGGUAGAUUAUUUCCCUUCAAGGUAUGAUCCUGCUCGGCAUGCGGAGAGGUUCCCUAUCCCACCACGCAUUCUGACUGGAAGACGUGAGAAGUGUGUAAUUGAAAAGGAGAACAAUUUCAAGCAGCCUGGAGAGAGAUACCGCUCUUUUGAUCCUGCCAGGCAAGAGAGAUUCAUUAAGAGAUGGGUUGAUGCAUUGUCUGACCCUAGAGUCACCCAUGAAAUCAGGAGCAUUUGGAUAUCUUACUGGUCUCAGUGUGACAAGUCCCUCGGUCAGAAGCUCGCAACCCGUCUCAACCUCAAACCAAGCAUGUAAGUUGGCAAUGAAGGCCGAGUCAAUGCAUGCAGCGGAGAAUUACCCAGAAGGUGCCCUGGUUUGUGCAGGAAAAUUGAGUGUUAAUCAUACUAUGGACAUCUGAGUUUACUAAAAGAACUUCUGAUUAAAGGCUUGCUUCAUAGCAUAACAUGGAAGGAUUAUUGAGAACAAUGAUGGUAUUUUUAGUCCUUUAUCCAUGGAUUUGCUUGAGCUUGGGAUAUUAUUUCGAAAUGAAAAAAAAAAAAACUAGAAUGGAAUGUUGGUGUUCGUUUAUUAAACUAGGUACAUGUUGUUUGAUAAGUAAGAGGGGACUGGCCUUUGAAUGUGUUUAAGCUCAAAAGAGUAAAUAAAGGGACCAUAAUAUACAAAAUAUGAUUGCAGGCAA